rnacentral:rRNA from 1 species
GAUGAACGCUAGCUCCAGGCUUAACACAUGCAAGUCGCGGGGCAGCAUGGGGGUUGCUUGCAAUCCCCGAUGGCGACCGGCGCACGGGUGAGUAACGCGUAUUCAACCUGCCCUUCACCACGGGAUAACCCGGCGAAAGUCGGACUAAUACCGUAUGUUGUCCAUUGACGGCAUCCGAUUUGGACGAAAGGCUUGGCGGUGAGGGAUGGGGAUGCGUCCGAUUAGCCAGACGGCGGGGUAACGGCCCACCGUGGCUACGAUCGGUAGGGGUUCUGAGAGGAAGGUCCCCCACACUGGAACUGAGACACGGUCCAGACUCCUACGGGAGGCAGCAGUGAGGAAUAUUGGUCAAUGGGCGUAAGCCUGAACCAGCCAAGUAGCGUGCAGGAUGACGGCCCUAUGGGUUGUAAACUGCUUUUAUGCGGGGAUAAAGUGGCCCACGUGUGGGCUUUUGCAGGUACCGCAUGAAUAAGGACCGGCUAAUUCCGUG